ACUGAUCGUGUUGCAAUCUUUUGUUUGUUAGGGUCGAGUUGUUCUGAACAUAUUCAAUACCAAGCGAUAAAGGAUCAUAAAGUGUUAAUAUAUCGAUAAUCUUUUUAUUAUACAUGUAUAUAGUCUCUAAAUCGUAUUACUGCUCACGCAUAUAGUGUAUUGACUAUACUUUGCAGGAGGAAUUAGCACACGUAGAUUUAAAAAGUACAUGGUAAUUGACAGUUCGGAAAGAUUUCAAUACUAAUUUUGACCCCCAGGUUGACGAAAUGAACAAAAUACACAGGUAAAGGGGGUUCAAAUGGAAUUCUUGUCUACAGACUGAGUCCUUACAUUUCAAAGAUGUAUGUUGUUAUGUAAAUUUAACGUUAAAUCAGAAGUACGCGGGAAAACAUAUUAAUAACGCAUUGAACAUCAUCAUGUUGAAGGUGUGAGAACAAAAAAAAAAAAAAAAUAACACAUUAAUUCAAUGAAACUGGCAGAGCGAACUUAAUGACAUCGCUUACUUCCUAGUACAGUAUUUUAUUUCCUUGAUCUAUAUACACUUUGUUGGGAAUCUCCCUAACAAAGUUUGCAUCUACAAAAGGGGUAUAUAUAUCUUUGAGUAUGUAUCUUGUUUAGGAGAAAGACAUUACACCAGAUUUUGCUGAAUAUUUAUCUUAUGCAAGCUGUGCAUAAACACACAGGAAACAAUACUUGUACAUGUUGACUGGCGACCUUCUAUGUCAUUCUGAAGGUAAAGAGAUCUCUUGAGUUAAAGUGAUCCUUCAAACUUGGAGUUUUACUAUAUAAUAGACAGACACUUGUAUCGGUAUACCUUAAUAUAUAUAUAAAGGUAGCCACUUAGACAAGAAUUUAUAUUUACACUAUUUGGCAAUACAAGUAUGAAACAUAUACUCCCAUCACCGCUCCCAUCACCGCCCCCA
rnacentral:lncRNA from 1 species